GCAACUGUAACCGUUCGGGGGUCUGGCCUUGUCAAAAUAUUUAGUUUUGAGGUGAUCGUCUAGAGAUUGUUUGGAGGACCGCUACGUUGUCGUGUAGAUUUGGAGAUUCGUUAUUUCAAGCACUGUGUGUCUGGGAAAGGAAAACGCAAAGAGUUCGACCCAAAAUGUUUAUUCACUAAAUUUACAGUCAUUGGUGAUAGUAUGCAACACGUUAUACAAUUCAGAAGUGAGUAUAGACAACAAGUUAAACACUAAUCCUAGGCAACCAGCUAAUCGAGUGUUGAAUCUCGGAGAACUGAGCGGGAAAUUUGAAUGCAAAGUUGAUUACUCGGACCCAACCUGGUGAUUCUAGAAAGACGGUUGCAAGAGGGACUCCCAGAGGUUCCGACCACCGCGUGCUCUCCAUUCCCUAACCUUGGUUGGGCCAUUGCACUCACUGGGACUGCCGAGGUCUUUUUCCCUAGUGUGAUGGCAAGUUCCAAAGGGAGACAGAAAGAUAGUUACUACUCAAACAUGCAGCCAAAUUAAGCCUUCGUAAUCAACAGUUUGUUUUAAUUAAGCAAAAGAGCUCUCGUCAAAUUCAACACGUACAUAUCACGUGCUCCUAACUAAACUUAAGUAUUUUUACAGUAAGCGAAAGUCUGGUAAAAUAAAUGACAUGAAAGGGUUAAGUUUUCGCCCUGUGGAAAAAAGAAUAAUUAACGCUCUGUAAAAGAAAAGAUUAAUUAACGCCCUGUAAAAAGAAAGGAUUAAUUAACGCUCUGUAAAAGAAAGGAUUAAUUAACGCUCUGAAAAAGAAAAGAGUUAGAUAAAGAUCCUCCCCUGAGACUUCCAACCGUUGAAGAUGGUGAUCCCGGUGGUGUGACGAAGAGUUUGUCUCUUUGAGACCUGGAGGUUUCUCUCGAGGUACAUUUCACCGUUUGGCGCUCAACCCGUCGCAGACAAAGAAGCUGCCAUGGUGAAAAACCCCAGCUGAAAGUUGAACCAAUCUCAUCUUUUGAAGAGGCGCUCAACCCGUCGGAGACAAAGAAGCUGCCUGAGAUUUUCGUUCAACUCCAGGAGAAUAUUUCUCAAUCAAUCUUUCCAACCCGUCGGCGGGAGAGAUUGAUCGGCUUCGCGAGUUAGUUGGCUCAACCCGUCGCAGACAAAGAAGCUCAACAAAACUCGCGGCUGGUGCGCUCAACCCGUCGAAGACAAAGAAGCUGCACCUGAAUUAAGUUGGUAACUGAAUCAAUCCUUUAUUUGAAGUUGGCGCUCAACCCGUCGGAGACAAAGAAGCUGCCAAGGAUUUACAUCCAGCACCAGGAGUUACUCCAAACAGUCUUUCCAACCCGUCGGUGGAAAAAAUGAGUUUGGAACGCAAAGCUAGUUGGCUCAACCCGUCGAAGACAAAGAAGCUCAACUACAGCAGUGAGACGAGUGCAAGCGUUGUCUCCGAAAAGACGUACAAACACUGUCUGAUUUUCCUCUUCCAAGCGGCAACUAUUUAUAGGGGUUGCGUGACGUCACUGGUUCUGUGGCCUACGUGACUAACAAGAAAUAUUGUUUAAAGUUGAUAAACAAUGCGUUAAUAUCUUCGAAGGAUUGACAGGAAGUUUGCAAACGUCUCUGGAUGAUGUCGAGAUGUGAUAGAAUCGAAGUAUUUGUUCCUCAAUCGCCAAUUAAUUAAUAAAAGCGUUUCCACGUGGAAUAAAAGAG